rnacentral:snRNA from 1 species
GGAUGUGAUGGGGAUCUGGCUGUGACAGUUGUCCCCCAUUGAUUGCCAGGGUUGAUUGACUGAUCUGGCUGGCUGGGCGAGUGUCCCCUUGCAACCUCGCUACGCUAUAUGUGUCUUCUAAAGCUGCACACUUGGUGGAAAAAGAAGACCUUCCCUGAUAGAGGAGAACCGUUCUUUGGUCAAAGGUAUACAAGUAGUUUUGCUCCCCUGCUAGAACCUACAAACAAGCUCUCAAGAUAGCAGAUGGAACUCCUCUGAGCAUAUUCAACUUUCAUCAUAAAAAUUUAGCUGAAAAAAAGGAAAGGACACUUGGAAAGCUUUUCUUA